AGGACAUUCCGUUGGGCUAGAGAGGGAGAACCACUCAGCUGGCUUAAUGAAAGACACGGGUGUGGGACUUUGUCAGCAGAUGCAAGCCUGGAGCCACCACACAGCAGAGAGGAGUAGGAAACCAGAGUAUGGAAGCCCCUUCCUCUCCUGCACCAAAUCACUCACAGCACCAUGAUGGGCAGCAGUAGAAGGAUUAGAAACCACACCGCCCUGAUAGGAGUUGAACUUUUCUUCAACUGGCUCUUAAGCUGACAUGAGAUUGCGCUAGUUGGAAGAUACCAAGAUACUCUUAAAAGAGAAGAUGAAGUUCUCAUGUUUCAACCCCUAUUACUAUUGACUGUCAACUUCCCAAAAGACCCCAGAAAAACAUGUUAAUGGAACAAAACUAAGUUUAUUAGAUUUACUGUAGUAUAAGAGAAAACCACCUUGGUAGAGUCUUGAUAGUGCCUCAGGUUGACAAAGUCAGGGUCUGCACUGGGGGACUUCUAAGGUAGCUUUUGCAAGGUGGGGAGUAGCUUGGGACUGGGCAGGGUUUCUACCCUAACAAUUCUCAAUUGGUAAGCCCCGCAAGGCCAAGGAUCCUGAAGCAAAUCUAGAUAAGAAAGAUACUGGAUUUUAUAAGCUAGCUAUUUUAGUGGAUUUACUGCCUCAUUUUUGGUAAGCAAGUCUUCCUGAAGCAAGCAGAAUAAUACAAAGCUUUAACGAAGACCGCAGAAGAACUUCAUAUCUGAGUACCAUUUGCAAUCGAUUUACAAAUAAUGCCAGCAUCCUUAGCGACUUCUUCAGGCAAGGUUAUACUGGGGGUUUUUGAGGCUAAGCAGGUGAACUGGGAGUACCGCACACAGCAUGGCUUCCAGCCUGAAGUGACUGUAAAAUGCCAGUGAAUAGAGAGGCUCAAGGCUGAGUAAAGGAUCCUGCACACUCAACAGGCUCAUCCUUCUCUGCACCCGAGUUGUUCAUAGAGUCCCAGUUACAGAGCUUUCAGAAGGCGGAAUUCGUCCACAGCACACUAUUGAUGCCUAUCGAAUCUAAGGAAAUUAACUAAGAAGGGAAGAAAUAAUCUUCAUAGAAAAGGGAUUUGAGAACCCAGAAGAGGGUAUGGGCCUGGCAGUGUGCAUGCUGCAAACUAUGCACCAUCACUGGCCUAAAACGCACCUCUGUGUGCAUCAUUUACUCACGUUUAAAAAUCACCCUCUACUUGUUCUCCUGUGACCCUCAUUGGACUAUAUCCAGACAGCACUGAAAGUGAUAGCCAGAAAAAGUAGAAACAACCCAUGUGUUCAUCCACUGACGAAUGGAUCAAAACAUGUGGCGUGUCCAUCCAUACAAGGGGAUAUUACCCAGCAGUCAAAAGGAGCAAAGAACUGAUGUAUACCACACCAUGGCUGAUUCUCAACAGUAUGUUCAGUGAAAGAAACCAGUCACAAAAGCACAUGUACUGUAUGUCUAUUUAUAUGAACUGCUUGGAGGAGGCACCUAGUGGUUGCCAGGGGCUUGGGGUGGGGGUGGAGGGCAGGAAUGGGGAAUGCCUGCCCCCUCCAUGGGGUUUCUUUGUGGGGUGAUUAAAAUGUUCUAAAAUUGGUAUGGUGAUGGUUGCAUG
rnacentral:lncRNA from 10 species